rnacentral:rRNA from 1 species
UACGUAGGGAGCAAGCGUUGUCCGGAAUCAUUGGGCGUAAAGCGCGCGUAGGCGGCCCUGUAAGUCCGCUGUGAAAGUCAAAGGCUCAACCUUUGAAAGCCGGUGGAUACUGCAGGGCUAGAGUCCGGAAGAGGCGAGUGGAAUUCCUGGUGUAGCGGUGGAAUGCGCAGAUAUCAGGAGGAACACCAAUAGCGAAGGCAGCUCCGCUGGGACGGUACUGACCGCUAAGG